AUCCCUGUGACGCAGUUGGUUAGCGUGUCGUUCUUAUACUGUAUGCUUGCAUAUAGCAUGAAAUCUUUCUCAGAGAUGCGAAAGUCGCGAGUUCAAACCUCGCCAGGGAUA
rfam:Exophiala mesophila strain CBS 40295 unplaced genomic scaffold supercont1.5, whole genome shotgun sequence.